rnacentral:rRNA from 1 species
GACGAACCGUGCGAACGUUGUUCGGAUUCACUGGGCUUAAAGGGCGCGUAGGCGGUACGCCAAGUCUGGGGUGAAAUCUUUCGGCUCAACCGGAAAAUUGCCUGGGAUACUGGCGUGCUCGAGGGAGGUAGGGGCAGCGGGAACUGCCGGUGGAGCGGUGAAAUGCGUUGAUAUCGGCAGGAACGCCGGUGGCGAAAGCGCGUUGCUGGACCUCUUCUGACGCUGAGUGCGCGAAAGCUAGGGGAGCAAACG